rnacentral:rRNA from 1 species
AUGAACGCUGGCGGCGUGCCUAAUACAUGCAAGUCGAGCGAACAGAUAAGGAGCUUGCUCCUUUGACGUUAGCGGCGGACGGGUGAGUAACACGUGGGUAACCUACCUAUAAGACUGGGAUAACUUCGGGAAACCGGAGCUAAUACCGGAUAACAUUUGGAACCGCAUGGUUCUAAAGUGAAAGAUGGUUUUGCUAUCACUUAUAGAUGGACCCGCGCCGUAUUAGCUAGUUGGUAAGGUAACGGCUUACCAAGGCAACGAUACGUAGCCGACCUGAGAGGGUGAUCGGCCACACUGGAACUGAGACACGGUCCAGACUCCUACGGGAGGCAGCAGUAGGGAAUCUUCCGCAAUGGGCGAAAGCCUGACGGAGCAACGCCGCGUGAGUGAUGAAGGGUUUCGGCCCGUAAAACUCUGUUAUUAGGGAAGAACAAACGUGUAAGUAACUGUGCACGUCUUGACGGUACCUAAUCAGAAAGCCACGGCUAACUACGUG